rnacentral:misc_RNA from 1 species
GAAGUUGGAGAGAAGAUCUUGAGCCUGUUCAUUGUAAUUCUUGGCAGAAACACCUAGACACCUAUUAGAGGAAGGAAUAGGCAACCUUGCUCCACAUUUUUUCACUUAACUAAUGUCUAUGAAUGAAAAUAAUAGUCAACUGUGCGGUACAGUCAAAUUUGUAAUUUCAAUCUUGAGGUUCAAUGUAUAUCAAACAGCAUGAGUUGAAACAAAUGUGAUUAGCUCAAAUUUCAGAUUGGUAUAAUUUUUUUGCAUUGGAUCGAGUCUAAUGGGAUAUUGGAUUAACUCAUGCAGCGCUUGAGACUAGUUCUUAACAGUAAAUGCAAUUUGUAAGAACUGCGCAGAAAAUCUUAAUACAACAUUUGUAUCCAAGUUU